GUGCGUUCAGACCCCAGUAGGUGAAGUUCUGGUAAUUUAAGUGGAGUCGCUUAAUUUAAUUUAUUAUAAGUUAUUGGGACCACAGUCAGUGGUUUGAGUCACUAGGAGAGAAAGUUCAAUAAAUUCAUCUGCUUUAUGUGGGAUGUGAUCUGGAUUCAAUUAGGUGAAAAUGAACUAAACCGCAUAAAAAUGCGGCUAUGUUAACAUAAUUAUAAUUUGAGGGGUAAAAAUAGUCCGGAAUUAUUUGCCUGAUUGUGGCUCAGGCUUCUAAUGAGUAUGUAUUUAAUGAAGAGAAUGUGUGAUCAAGUUGUGUUGAUCUACUUAUUGUAGUUUAAAUAGAGGAAUAGCAGCUGACUGUUGAGGGAGGAAAGAAAUUAAAGUGCAGAUGUCCGUUAGACGGAAACAAGCGCAGAGCAAUAAAC